rnacentral:rRNA from 1 species
GAUGAACGCUGGCGGCGUGCCUAAUACAUGCAAGUCGAGCGAACAGACGAGGAGCUUGCUCCUCUGACGUUAGCGGCGGACGGGUGAGUAACACGUGGAUAACCUACCUAUAAGACUGGGAUAACUUUGGGAAACCGGAGCUAAUACCGGAUAAUAUAUUGAACCGCAUGGUUCAAUAGUGAAAGACGGUUUUGCUGUCACUUAUAGAUGGAUCCGCGCCGCAUUAGCUAGUUGGUAAGGUAACGGCUUACCAAGGCAACGAUGCGUAGCCGACCUGAGAGGAUGAGCGGCGACCCUGGAACUGAGACGCGGUCCAGACUCCUAAGGGAGGCAGCAGGAGGGAAUCUUACGCAAUGGGCGAAAGCCUGACGGAGCAACGCCGCGUGAGGGAUGAAGGUCUUCGGAUCGUAAAACUCUGUUAUUAGCGAAGAACAAAUGUGUAAGUAACUAUGCACGGCUUGACGGUAACUAAUCAGAACGCCACGGCUAACUACGUG